rnacentral:rRNA from 1 species
GGAUUAGAUACCCUGGUAGUCCACGCCGUAAACGAUGAGAACUAGACGUUAGGUACUUGUACCUGGUGUCGCAGCUAACGCAUUAAGUUCUCCGCCUGGGGAGUACGGCCGCAAGGUUGAAACUCAAAGUAAUUGACGGGGGCCCGCACAAGCGGUGGAGCAUGUGGUUUAAUUCGAUGCAACGCGAAGAACCUUACCUACACUUGACAUCAUCAGAACUUGUUAGAGAUAACUCGGUGCCUUCGGUAACUGAUUGACAGGUGCUGCAUGGCCGUCGUCAGCUCGUGCUG